UACGAAGGGGGCGAGCGUUGUUCGGAUUUACUGGGCGUAAAGGGCGCGCAGGCGGCUCAUUUUGUCAGGCGUGAAAGCCCCGGGCUUAACCUGGGAACUGCGUUUGAUACGGAUGGGCUAGAGUUCGGGAGAGGAGAGUGGAAUUCCCAGUGUAGAGGUGAAAUUCGUAGAUAUUGGGAAGAACACCGGUGGCGAAGGCGGCUAUCUGGACCGUAACUGACGCUGAGGCGCGAAAGCGUGGGGAGCAAACAGG
rnacentral:rRNA from 1 species